GACGAACGCUGGCGGCGUGCUUAACACAUGCAAGUCGAACGGAAAGGCCCUGCUUUUGUGGGGUGCUCGAGUGGCGAACGGGUGAGUAACACGUGAGUAACCUGCCCUUGACUUUGGGAUAACUUCAGGAAACUGGGGCUAAUACCGGAUAGGAGCUCCUGCUACAUGGUGGGGGUUGGAAAGUUUCGGCGGUUGGGGAUGGACUCGCGGCUUAUCAGCUUGUUGGUGGGGUAGUGGCUUACCAAGGCUUUGACGGGUAGCCGGCCUGGGAGGGUGACCGGCCACAUUGGGACUGAGAUACGGCCCAGACUCCUACGGGAGGCAGCAGUGGGGAAUAUUGCACAAUGGGCGGAAGCCUGAUGCAGCAACGCCGCGUGCGGGAUGACGGCCUUCGGGUUGUAAACCGCUUUCGCCUGUGACGAAGCGUGAGUGACGGUAAUGGGUAAAGAAGCACCGGCUAACUACGUG
rnacentral:rRNA from 1 species